ACAAAACGUUAGGGCAAAUAGAUUUUCUCCUUUUUUCGUCUCGUUCCCUUCUUCCGCCGUGCGAGAGGGCCAACAUCGCCUCAUCCUUCUAUCGGCGACAAGCUACUCCAGUGUCGGCCUUUAGGAAAUCCGGUUUGAAAGAAGAUUGGCUUACGGGUUCAUUUAUGUGAUUGUAAAGGCUAUUAUCUUUUUAUCUUGAGAGCUGGUGGAGAUCUGCUGCUGCAAAAAAUUGGCUUGAUGAAUAACUUACUCUCGGGAGCUUUUAAAUGAAGUUGCUUAGUCAGUUUGGUGCAUUUUUGGAUCUGGUGGCUGAUAAGAGUUCUAUUUUUGGUCCGGAUAUCCGGCGCAAAGGAAAUUGGAAUCGUAAUUAUGUACCGGAGUAAAACCGUGACACAUGCUACGCCAUUUGAGCAUAAAAGUUGCAGUUUUGGCGCAGUUCAUUCCGCGCCAAUUCCUUAUUUUUCUGGUCUUUAAUCAAUGGCUAUGAGGAUAGGUCCGUAUUUUUUUAUUAGGUCGGAACCCGUGUGCUUAUAUUAUCUUGUACCAGAUAAAAGAAAUAUUUUGCUAAGGGACUUCUGCUUUGCCCCUUGUGCCUGGUGACACAUUUUUCCUUUUCAAGGUCUUCGUUACAUGCGCCUCAGUCCCGGACACACCACUUAUUGUUCCGACAACUGCUGGGGCGACUACCAUUCGCGACUUUGUCGGUGAAGAUCCUAUUAAGUGGAACUACAAGGAUGUUCGGAUAUACUUUCAUACCUUUCAUUUAUUGAAUUCUAAAACUUAAAAGAAAUAUUACUUAAACUAAACCUCCUUCUGUUGGUAAUUGCAGCUCAUGCGCCACCCCUAAAACAUAUCAACCGAUUCCUUAAUGUUUUGCCCCCGUUUGCCUUAUGGAUUGGAUGUCGUAGAUGUGUUUGGAUGGUAGGUUGUUACGGCUAUGUGAAAUACCUAUGGAAUAGAUGCAUAGAAAUUUGGAGUUAUCUUUUUUGUGGUGAGAAUUGUUGCUAUGGAUUGAUGGAUUUCCCCAGUUGCUUAUUACUAGGUUGGAUGUUUAAAAUGCUUGCAUUUUGCGGAACAUAAUGUCAAAGUGAAGAUGUUGCUAGGCUUGUUUGAUGGGUUACUUUAUUUUGUUUUUUGG